GAGGAAUAUUGGUCAAUGGGCGAGAGCCUGAACCAGCCAAGUAUCGUGAAGGAUGACUGCCCUAUGGGUUGUAAACUUCUUUUAUAAAGGAAUAAAGUCGGGUAUGGAUACCCGUUUGCAUGUACUUUAUGAAUAAGGAUCGGCUAACUCCGUGCCAGCAGCCGCGGUAAUACGGAGGAUCCGAGCGUUAUCCGGAUUUAUUGGGUUUAAAGGGAGCGUAGAUGGAUGUUUAAGUCAGUUGUGAAAGUUUGCGGCUCAACCGUAAAAUUGCAGUUGAUACUGGAUAUCUUGAGUGCAGUUGAGGCAGGCGGAAUUCGUGGUGUAGCGGUGAAAUGCUUAGAUAUCACGAAGAACUCCGAUUGCGAAGGCAGCCUGCUAAGCUGCAACUGACAUUGAGGCUCGAAAGUGUGGGUAUCAAACAGGAUUAGAUACCCUGGUAGUCCACACGGUAAACGAUGAAUACUCGCUGUUUGCGAUAUACAGCAAGCGGCCAAGCGAAAGCGUUAAGUAUUCCACCUGGGGAGUACGCCGGCAACGGUGAAACUCAAAGGAAUUGACGGGGGCCCGCACAAGCGGAGGAACAUGUGGUUUAAUUCGAUGAUACGCGAGGAACCUUACCCGGGCUUAAAUUGCAGAUGAAUUACGGUGAAAGCCGUAAGCCGCAAGGCAUCUGUGAAGGUGCUGCAUGGUUGUCGUCAGCUCGUGCCGUGAGGUGUCGGCUUAAGUGCCAUAACGAGCGCAACCCUUGUUGUCAGUUACUAACAGGUUCCGCUGAGGACUCUGACAAGACUGCCAUCGUAAGAUGUGAGGAAGGUGGGGAUGACGUCAAAUCAGCACGGCCCUUACGUCCGGGGCUACACACGUGUUACAAUGGGGGGUACAGAGGGCCGCUACCACGCGAGUGGAUGCCAAUCCCAAAAACCUCUCUCAGUUCGGACUGGAGUCUGCAACCCGACUCCACGAAGCUGGAUUCGCUAGUAAUCGCGCAUCAGCCACGGCGCGGUGAAUACGUUCCCG
rnacentral:rRNA from 1 species